rnacentral:rRNA from 1 species
GCGCGUAGCGAUAGCACGUUGAAAUCACCAUUUCUCAAUUGAUCACUGAAAUUAAGCAACGUUUCGUGUGGUUGGUAUCUGGAUGUGUGGCUAUCUGGCCAAUAGAGCGCUGCUGGCU